UACGAAGGGGGGCUAGCGUUUGUUCGGAAUUACUGGGCGUAGAGCGCGCGCAGGCGGUCUUCCAAGUCAGUGGUGAAAGCCUGGAGCUCAACUCCAGAACUGCCAUUUGAAAACUGUUUAGACUUGAGUACGAGAGAGGUGAGUGGAAUUCCCAGUGUAGAGGGUGAAAAUUUCGUAGAUAUUGGGAAGAACACCAGUGGCGAAGGCGGCUCACUGGCUCGUAACUGACGCUCAGGCGCGACAGCGUGGGGAUCAAACAGG
rnacentral:rRNA from 1 species